rnacentral:rRNA from 1 species
AGAGUUUGAUCCUGGCUCAGGACGAACGCUGGCGGCGUGCUUAACACAUGCAGGUCGAACGGAAAGGCCCUUCGGGGUACUCGAGUGGCGAACGGGUGAGUAACACGUGGGUGAUCUGCCCUGCACUUUGGGAUAAGCCUGGGAAACUGGGUCUAAUACCGAAUAUGACCAUGCACUUCCUGGUGUGUGGUGGAAAGCUUUUGCGGUGUGGGAUGGGCCCGCGGCCUAUCAGCUUGUUGGUGGGGUAAUGGCCUACCAAGGCGACGACGGGUAGCCGGCCUGAGAGGGUGACCGGCCACACUGGGACUGAGAUACGGCCCAGACUCCUACGGGAGGCAGCAGUGGGGAAUAUUGCACAAUGGGCGCAAGCCUGAUGCAGCGACGCCGCGUGAGGGAUGACGGCCUUCGGGUUGUAAACCUCUUUCAGCACAGACGAAGCGCAAGUGACGGUAUGUGCAGAAGAAGGACCGGCCAACUACGUGCCAGCAGCCGCGGUAAUACGUAGGGUCCGAGCGUUGUCCGGAAUUACUGGGCGUAAAGAGCUCGUAGGUGGUUUGUCGCGUUGUUCGUGAAAACUCACAGCUUAACUGUGGGCGUGCGGGCGAUACGGGCAGACUUGAGUACUGCAGGGGAGACUGGAAUUCCUGGUGUAGCGGUGGAAUGCGCAGAUAUCAGGAGGAACACCGGUGGCGAAGGCGGGUCUCUGGGCAGUAACUGACGCUGAGGAGCGAAAGCGUGGGGAGCGAACAGGAUUAGAUACCCUGGUAGUCC